rnacentral:rRNA from 1 species
GACGAACGCUGGCGGCGUGCCUAAUACAUGCAAGUAGAACGCUGAAGGAGGAGCUUGCUUCUCUGGAUGAGUUGCGAACGGGUGAGUAACGCGUAGGUAACCUGCCUGGUAGCGGGGGAUAACUAUUGGAAACGAUAGCUAAUACCGCAUAAGAGUAGAUGUUGCAUGACAUUUGCUUAAAAGGUGCAAUUGCAUCACUACCAGAUGGACCUGCGUUGUAUUAGCUAGUUGGUGGGGUAACGGCUCACCAAGGCGACGAUACAUAGCCGACCUGAGAGGGUGAUCGGCCACACUAGGACUGAGACACGGCCCAGACUCCUACGGGAGGCAGCAGUAGGGAAUCUUCGGCAAUGGACGGAAGUCUGACCGAGCAACGCCGCGUGAGUGAAGAAGGUUUUCGGAUCGUAAAGCUCUGUUGUAAGAGAAGAACGAGUGUGAGAGUGGAAAGUUCACACUGUGACGGUAUCUUACCAGAAAGGGACGGCUAACUACGUG